GCCCCGCUGGUGCAAUUGGCUAGCAUUUCGUCCUUCUAACGCUGAAAGACGAGGGUUGUGGGUUCGAGCCCCACGUGGGGCU